UACGAAGGGUGCAAACGUUGCUCGGAAUUAUUGGGCGUAAAGCGCACGUAGGCGGCUUUUCAAGUCCCAUGUGAAAGCCCACGGCUUAACCGUGGAAGUGCAUGGGAAACUGGAAAGCUUGAGUACUUAAGAGGAUCGCGGAAUUCCCAGUGUAGAGGUGAAAUUCGUAGAUAUCGGGAGGAACACCAGAGGCGAAGGCGGCGACCUGGACAAGCACUGACACUCAACUACGAAAGCGGUGGGGAGCAAACAGG
rnacentral:rRNA from 1 species